rnacentral:rRNA from 1 species
GGUCUUAGCUUGCUAAGGCUGAUGGCGACCGGCGCACGGGUGAGUAACACGUAUCCAACCUGCCGUCUACUCUUGGCCAGCCUUCUGAAAGGAAGAUUAAUCCAGGAUGGCAUCAUGAGUUCACAUGUCCGCAUGAUUAAAGGUAUUUUCCGGUAGACGAUGGGGAUGCGUUCUAUUAGAUAGUAGGCGGGGUAACGGCCCACCUAGUCAACGAUGGAUAGGGGUUCUGAGAGGAAGGUCCCCCACAUUGGAACUGAGACACGGUCCAAACUCCUACGGGAGGCAGCAGUGAGGAAUAUUGGUCAAUGGGCGAUGGCCUGAACCAGCCAAGUAGCGUGAAGGAUGACGG